UGAGGCGUGGCUUCCGGAGCUAACGCGUUAAGUCGACCGCCUGGGGAGUACGGCCGCAAGGUUAAAACUCAAAUGAAUUGACGGGGGCCCGCACAAGCGGUGGAGCAUGUGGUUUAAUUCGAUGCAACGCGAAGAACCUUACCUACUCUUGACAUCCACGGAACUUAGCAGAGAUGCUUUGGUGCCUUCGGGAACCGUGAGACAGGUGCUGCAUGGCUGUCGUCAGCUCGUGUUGUGAAAUGUUGGGUUAAGUCCCGCAACGAGCGCAACCCUUAUCCUUUGUUGCCAGCGGUCCGGCCGGGAACUCAAAGGAGACUGCCAGUGAUAAACUGGAGGAAGGUGGGGAUGACGUCAAGUCAUCAUGGCCCUUACGAGUAGGGCUACACACGUGCUACAAUGGCGCAUACAAAGAGAAGCGAACUCGCGAGAGCAAGCGGACCUCAUAAAGUGCGUCGUAGUCCGGAUCGGAGUCUGCAACUCGACUCCGUGAAGUCGGAAUCGCUAGUAAUC
rnacentral:rRNA from 1 species